rnacentral:misc_RNA from 1 species
GAUGAAGAACGCAGCGAAAUGCGAUAAGUAGUGUGAAUUGCAGAAUUCAGUGAAUCAUCGAAUCUUUGAACGCACAUUGCGCCACUUGGUAUUCCAUGGGGCAUGCCUGUUCGAGCGUCAUUUGUACCUUCAAGCUCUGCUUGGUGUUGGGUGUUUGUCUCGCCUCUGCGUGUAGACUCGCCUCAAAACAAUUGGCAGCCGGCGUAUUGAUUUCGGAGCGCAGUACAUCUCGCGCUUUGCACUCAUAACGACGACGUCCAAAAGUACAUUUUUACACUCUUGACCUCGGAUCAGGUAGGGAUACCCGCUGAACUUAAGCAUAUCAAUAAGCGGAGGA